GGGUUGUGAGCAGCAUUGGCGACUGCAGCGGACUGUAAAUCCGCCGUCUCAGACAUACGGGGUUCGACUCCCUGACAACCCACCA
rnacentral:tRNA from 1 species